GGAAAUCUCUGAGUUCUGCCCUCAGGCAGUUUCAGGUAAGGAAGGUGCAGAGGGUGGGUUGGUGUGGGCAUAAUCUGGCUGGGUGGGGCGGUCUGGGUGGUCUUGUUGCAGCUAGAUUUGCCCCUGUAAUGCAGAGAACGAAGUGAGAUUGGGGAGAAAGACGGGGGAGUGGGGAGAGGAAAGAAGGGGGAGUGGGGCCUGUGAGAGAGAGGGAGAGAGGGCAAUAGAAGGGAGUGUGGGGACCGGGAGAGAGACGGGGAGUGGAUAUGAAGAGACGGGGUAGUAAAAGAGAAAAGGGAUUGUAGGGGGAAAGAGAGAGAGAGAGAGAAGGGAGAGUGUGGAUUGAAAGAGGUAGAAGUCCGAGUGGGGAGAUGAAGAGAGAUGAGGAAGAAUAGGGAAUAAGUGACGAGUAAGGGCAAGUGUGUUGUGGAAGAGGGAUUCCGGAGAAAGGGGAGUACAACAGUGUCACUCCACUCUUCAGGAAGCGAGAGAGGCAGAGGGAAGGAAACUGAAGGCCAGUUGGUCUGACCUCAGUGUUUGGGAAAUGUUGGAUUCGAUUGUUAAGGAUGAUGUCUCAGUGCUCUUUGGGCAAAUGAUAAAAAGGGCCGUAGUCAGCAUAGUUUCCUGACAAAUCUGUUGAAAUUCAUUGAAGAAAUAACAAGCGGGAUCGACAAAAGACAAUCGGUUGAUGUUGUGUGUUUUGAAUUUCAGGCCUUUAAAAAGGUGGCAGACAUGAGGCUGUUUAACACGCUACGAGCCCAUGGUAUUACAGAAAGAGCCCAGCACAGAUAAAGCAGUGGCUGAUUGACAGGAGGCAGAAUGUGUGAAUAAAUGGAGCGUUUUCUGUCUGGCUGCAGAUGUCCAAUGGCAUUCCACAGGGGUCUGUGAUGGGACCCAUUCUUCUCUGCUAUAUGGCAAUGACUUGGAUGAUGUAUUUGAUGGUUUUGCUGCAAAAUCUGCAGAGGACAUGAACAGAGAUGGAGGGAAAGGUAGUUCUGAGGACGUAGAGAGGCCACAGAAGGAGCUAGACAGAUUAGGAUUGGAAACGGCAGAUGGUAUACAGAGCAUUCAUUUCAUGAGGACUAAAAGGUAAAAGUAGGGACGAAAUGUUGAAACAUUAAAAAGCUCUGGUGAGGCCUCACUUGUAGUAUUUUGAGCAGGUUUGAGCUGCUUGUCUUAGAAAGCAUGUGCUGAAUCUCGAGGGGGUUCAGAGGUGGGGCACGAAAAUGGUUCCAGUAUUGAACAGGUUGUCAUAUCACCAUUGAUGUCUCUGGGCCAGAAUUCAGAAAAAUAAGGGGUGAACUCGUUGAAGGAGGAGCCUUGAUAGAGUGGAUGUGGGCAGGGUUUUUCCUGUGAUUGGUGGGUCUAAGACCGGAUGAGACAUGAGGGCAUCCUGUUAGAACGGAAAUGAGGAGGAGUUUCUUUAGCCAGAGUGGAGAAUCUAUGGGAUUCUUUGCCACAGGCAGUGGUGGAGGCCGAGUCUCUCUGUACAUUUACUACAGAUGGUCAUAUAUUACUGAUUGUUCAGGGUGUUAAAGGAUACGGGGAGAAGACAGGAGAUUGGGUCUGUUGCGAAAUUGGAUCAACCAGGAUGAUAUGCUGAUAUAUUGAAACAGAGUGGAUGGGCCGAAUGUCCUAACCUGCUCCAGCACCUCAUGGUCUUAUGGACUUUCUGCCUUUUGAACACUUCUGUCUCUUUGGGAUGUGUAUAUCCUGCGCUUUCUGAAUUGCUUCCCGAAAUUCCACCCAUUCUUGCUUUGACGUUAUCGGUGCCAAAGGUCUUUUCCAAUCACUUUUGGCCAGCUCCUCUCUCAGGCCUCUGCAGUUUCCUUCAUUCCACUGCAACACUGCAUCUCCGUUGUGCUUCCCCUUCUCAAAUUGCAAAUUCAAUCCCGGUUCAUUGCAUCACACCCUAACCAGAAUAGCAGAUCCCUUAGUGCAGUGGUCCCCAGCCACCAGGCCGCAAUGCAUGUUCUACUGGGCCGCGAGGAACCGAAAUGAUUUGGCGAUAGUGGGUUUAACCACGAGCUGCUCUCUGAAGCCACCUCGCAGGCAUUCUAGAAAUUCUCCCCCGGGGCAUCCAGCAGCAACCGGGCUUUCCCAAUCUAUUUGUGUACUGAAAUCCCACAUGACUAUUGUAACGUUGACCCGCUGACUUGCAUUUUCUAUCUCCCGUUGUAGUUUGUAGACUACGUCCUUACUACUGUUUGGGGGUCUGCACAUACCUUCCACCAGGAUUUCUUUGCACUUGCAGUUCCUCAGCUCUCCCCACAGCGACUCAGCACCUUCCGACCCUAUGCCAGCUCUUUCUGAUGGUUUGAUUUUGUUAUGUUUACCAACAGGGCCACGCUGUCAGUGAUGCCCACAACCUCAUGUAUGCCAGUCCGCAGCUCUUCCUCCUCGUCAGUUUGCACAAUGCGCGCAUUCAAAUGUAAUACCUUCAGUCCUGUGUUCAGCCUUUUAGAUUCUGUGCGUCUUUUCCAUCGCAACUCAUCCUGUCGACUGCCAGGUUGCCCGAUCAGCAGCCUUUCAUUGCCAGCAGUCUCACAACAUACUGUCUCUGUCUACAAACCAACGACCUCAUCCUCGGCGGUAGCACAUCGGUUCCCAAACCCCUUACCUAACUCACAAAAUUUCUUUUCAGGGCCUGCUGACAUUUUUAACUGUCAUUGGUGCCAAUACUUACCAACAAGUCUGGUUGCUCGCCCUCCCCCUUUAGAAUGCCAGGGACCUGAUCGGAGUCAUCCCUGUCCCUGGCAGCUGGACACAUCUCACCAUCCGGGUGACUCUAUCGCCAGCACAGAACCGCUGGUCGGUGGUUGACAACAGGAGGGACUCUAACCCUGUUACGGCGGAGGGAGGAUCGGGUGAGAGUUAAUGUUCUGGAAAUGGAGGGGUUGCCUCAUCGAUCAGAGGGAAUGAAAGGUUGGAGAGGCUUCAGUUGUUUCCUCUGUAGCGAUGGGGGCUGAGGGGAGACCAGAGGCAGACCGAGGCUGAGUAGAGAUCUGAGAGAAGAGAACCGACAUCGUUUGUUCACCAGGUGAAUAUCUCAAUUCCCAGAGGAUUUCAAUGUGAGCGUGGGACAGUUCAGAGAUGAUAUUUACCUGUGCCCCAGUACUCAAUUCUGCUCCACAGUUCGUUCGUGUUCUCUCUCUCUCUCUCUCUCUCUCUCUCUCUCUCUCUCUCUCUCUUUAUAAAUAUACAAUUCCUCAUCUCAUCUUUUCCUCAUCCAUACUCUUUUGCACCUUCCCACUCCCCACUCCUUCCUCCAAACAUUCUUCCCGACACAGUCACUAACCUGCAUCUUUCCCUUAUUGUCUCUUACUCCGUUUAUGCCUAACCUUUCGCUUGCCUCUCGUUUACUCCCCAAUUCCCCCUUUGCUGUAGCUUGCUGUCUCCGCCACCCACCCGUCCAGACCAGCACCCCUCCCUCACCCCGCACUGUGAUGACGGUUUUACACACUCAGUGGAUUACAGAUGUUGUAUAAUUUCUCGUCGGUUGGAAAGAUUCAAUGUUCUCUCAGAAGAUAAAGGCUUGUGGUUUCUGGGAGAGGCCUGUUUGUUUCCGUUUAGUGUGCUGCAGAAUAGGCGGUGGAGGAGUGUGGAGAAGGGGGAGAGAGGGUAAUUGAGGAUGUAAGAGAGGGGGAAGAAGAGGGGAAAGGAGAGGGGUAGAGAGAAGGGAAAGAGAGAGGGAGAGAGUGACAGGCACAGAGAAUGGGGGGGGAGAGGAGAGAGAGUACGAGAGAGUGACAGGCAGAGUUAGGGUGGGGGGAGAGAGAAGAGAAGAGGAGAGAUGAACGUAAAUUGGGACAUUUGCUUUAAAUGAAUCAAGGUACAGUGAUAUCUUUUGAUUCGCAUCCCGUCUAUAAAGAGCAAUUCAUCACCUCGAGACUGGGAGUGCGGGGUCGCGAAAUGUGAGGGGGCAAUUAAUUAACAACGAAUCAUACAGACCAAUUAAUCACAACACUGGAUUAGGCAGAUUGUGAAGUUAGUGGUCCAUCUCUCAGGAAGUCAGAAUGUUCGACGUUUGUGGGGUCUUUGAUAAUGCGGACUGUUUUAUUGAGGCAGAGAGAUGUGUAAACAGUGUUCACAGUUUCCAUGAUGUACUGAACUUGUUCACAGCUCUCUGCAGUGUUUCCGGUGGUGGUCAGUGCUGUUGCCGUGACAACACGACUAGUUUCCGCACAGGAUGUGUUCUGUAAAAAUAGAUGAUGGUCGUCCAGGAGGAGCCGAUUUUCUUCAGCCUCUGGAAGAAACAGAGAUGCCGCUGAGCUCUCUUGGCGAUAGUGUCCUUGUGGCUGGACAAGGACAGGCUGUCAGUGGUGUUCACUCUCAGGAGAUUGGAGCUCUCAACCCCCUUAUCCUCUGCUGUUGAUGUAAACAGGAAUGUCUGCAUCGCCCCGGCUGACUUCCUGUUGUCAGUAACCAGCUCUAUUGUGUGGGUGAAAUGGAGGGGGUGGGGAGUGUUGAUACCAGGUCACAAAGCUCUCCAGCUCCGACACGACACGCGGGUGGAGAAGGUUUACAGGAGUAAAUUCCAACCGUGUGAAAACAGCACUGGCUCUGUGAACACGGGUGGAUCUGUCCAGACGGACUGAAGGGUCUAUUUACGCGCUUUCCCCGAAUCUCGUCCUUCUCUCUCACUUUUCUCACUCUCACCUUCCUCUCUCUAGUCUCUCUCCGCUUCUCCUCUCUCAUCCCAAACUCUACUAUCCCUCCUCCUCACUCUCCUCUAUUACUCCCCACUCCCUCCGCCUUACACCACGCUCACACUGACCCCUCACCCUCUGCUUACUCCCUACCUUCCUGAAUCCUGCAUCACUCAUAUGAAACAUAUUCCUCCCGCGUCCUCCUCAUCCAGCCGAAAGGCUUUAUCUGCUGUCGCUUCCGCAGGACACGGAUUUACUCAAAUUCCGGUGACUCUGAUUCACUGUCAAACCCUCAGCGGAGAGGGUGGGAGAGGGCGAGGGGAAAUAUCAGGACAUUGGGAAGAGGGAGAAACAGUUGAGGGAAUUGGGAAGGGGGCGAGGGAGGAGGGAGAUUAAGGGACGACGAGAUGUGGGAAGAAGUAAGUGUGUAGAAGGAAGAGAGAUAGAAUGGGUGAAGAGCUCGGGGGAAGUUGAGAAGCAGGAGAUACCGGGAGAGCAAGUUCACUCUCACCCUCUCCAUCUCCCUCUCCCUAUACGUCUCUCUCUCUCACUCCCACUCCUUUCUCUCUCUCCCUCUCCCCCUCUCUCUCUCUCAAACUCCCUCUGUCUCUCUCCCGCUCCUCUUCUCUCCCCCUCUCCCUCACUCUCCUCUCUCUCUCUCUCACUCUCUCUCCACACCCCCUCUCUCCCCCUCUAUUUCCCUCUCCCUCUCACUCUCUCUGACUCUCUCACUCCCUCUCUCGCUGUCUGUGUCUGUCCCUCUCACUCACUCUCUCCCCAUCCUCUCUCUGUUCCUUACUCGCGCUCUCUCUCACUCUGUUCCUCUCCCUCUAUCUCUCUCCCUCUCUCUGCUUCUCCCUCUCCCCCCGUUCGUCUCUCUCUGUGUCUCUCUCUGCCUCUCUCUGUCACCCCCUCUCUCUGUUCCUCACACGCUGUCUCUCUCACUCUCUGUUCCUCUCUCCCACUCUCUCUCUCUCUCUCUUUCUCUCUCUCUCUCUCUCUCUCUCUCUCUCUCUCUCUCUCUCUCUCUCUCUGUUUCUCUCUGUCUCUCUCCCUCUCUCUCCCCCCCUCUUUGGCCUUCCCUCUCUCCCCCUCUCUCUGUCACCCCCUCUCUCUGUUCCUCACACGCUGUCGCUCUCACUCUCUCUCUGUCUCUCUCUCCGUCACUCUCUGUUCCUCUCUCUCUGUCUCUCUCCCUCCCUCUCCCCCUUCUCCCUCUCACUCUCAGUGUACUAUAAAGGCACGGAUGGAGGAAAAGAUAUGCAGUCUGGGAACAAGGCGGAGCAGGGGUCACUGACCAAAGCCAAUGCCGAUACAAUUAAUUGCUGACUUGGUCAGUUUCACUCCUCGCUCUCCAUCUCUGUCUAACUGUCCGUGGCGGACAGAUGUGACAGAGGUGAGGAGAGAAAGAGAGUGAGGUAGAGAUAUGUUAAGAGACAAAGGGUAGACUAUGGGGGAGAGAAUGGGACAGUGCGGGUAGGUAGGUUGAAGAGGGUGAGAGUGGGAUGAGCGAGUGGGUGCAGUGAGAGAGGGUGAAGAGAGGCACCGAGGGAAGGGGGAAGGAAGGUGGAGGCUAAGAACGUGAGCAGCGAUAGAGGGUGGGCAGGCAGAGAGGGAGAACCAUUUUAUGUGAAAUCUGAGCAAACAAGAGAAGAAGAGCGGGAACAGGGGUGGGAAGGAAGGAGUGGACCAGCGUGAAAGUGGGAGAGAUGGAGAGGGCUGGAGUGGAGGAGAGUGUGGGAGUGAUUGCGAGAGUAAUACAGGGGAGAGGUGUGUGUGUGUGUGUGUGAGAGAGAGAGAGAGAGUGAUAAAGGGGGAGACAGAGAGACUGCAAUGAACAGUUGGGGUGAGAGAGGGACAGAGAGAGUGAGCACGUGGGAGAGAUGGGUAAGAAUGGAGGAAGGGAGAGACGUGCAGGAAAUGGGAAAAGAAAGGGGCAGAGAGGAGGAGGUGUAACGGAGAACACAAAAUGCUGGAGGAACUCAGCAGUUCAGGCAACCUCUAUGGAAAAUAAUAAAGAGUGGACGUGUCGGACCGAGAUCAGCAAGCUGAGAGGAUUCUAUCAGUGGGGAGUAGGAACUGUCGAGGAUGCUGCGGGAUUGUUUGUCAGAUUACAGCAGACGUUGAUGGACUUUCGAUCGGUCAGGACAUGAAAGGAUACAAGGCGAAGGCAGGAAAAUGGAGCUGAGAGGGAAAAUGGAUUUACCGUGAUGAAGUGGCAGAGCAGUUUUGAUGGGCCAAAUGGCCUAAUUCUGCUCCUGUCUCUCAUGGUCUUAUGGUCCAAGAGCAGCCUCUCAUUCAAUUAGAGCAAGAGCAAUGAACUGGUUCUGGACUUUGGAGGAGGAAACAGGAACCCAUGAGGCAAUCUUCAUCGGGGCUCAAAGGUGGAGACCUUCAGCAAAUUUAAAUUCCACAGUGUCAACAUUUCAGAGGAUCUGUUCCGAGCCCGGGACACAAGUGCAAUUACACGAAAGCAGGAACUGUCUGUUCCUGCUCAGAAGCUUGAAUGGAUUCAGAAUGACAUCUAAAACCCUGACAAACUUGGACAGAUGUGUGGUGGGGAGCAUGUUCAGAGGUUGCAUCAUGGCCUGGUAUGGAAACACCAAAGCCCCUGAAAGGAAAAUCCGAUUAGAAAUAGUGGAUAUGGCCCAGCACAUCACGGGUAAAACUCUCCUUACAACUGAGCACAUCUCUGAGGGCUGCUGUCACAGGAAAUCAGCAUCCAUCAUCAAGGACCCCCACCACCCAGGCCAUGCUCUCUCCUCAAUGCUGCCAUCAGGAAGAAGGUGCAUGAGCCUCAGGAGCCUCAACCCCAGGUUCAGGAACAGUUAUUACACUCAACCAACAGGUCCUAAAAAAGAGGGGAUAAUUUUACUCAAAUUAACUUGCCCCAUCACUAAACCAUUCCCACAACCGAUGGACAUAAUCAACAACUCUUCAUCUCAUGUUCUUAAUUUUUAUUUCUGGGUUAUUUCUUAGUUUUAUUCUUUUGUAUUUGAAUUUCGUUGUCUUUUCCACAUGGUUGUUUUGUUUGUCCUUUUGUGGGCGAUCUUUCAUUCAUCGUAUAAUGGUUCUUGAGUUUACUGAAUUUACAAUAUAAUCAAAUCCCAGGAUUAUACUUGGUGACAUGCGUAUACUUUGAUAAUAAAUUUACUUUGCACA